AUUGAACGCUGGCGGCAUGCCUUACACAUGCAAGUCGAACGGUAACAGGUCUUCGGAUGCUGACGAGUGGCGAACGGGUGAGUAAUACAUCGGAACGUGCCCGAGAGUGGGGGGAUAACGAGGCGAAAGCUUUGCUAAUACCGCAUACGAACUCAGGAUGAAAGCAGGGGACCGCAAGGCCUUGCGCUCACGGAGCGGCCGAUGGCAGAUUAGGGAGUUGGUGGGAUAAAAGCUUACCAAGCCGACGAUCUGUAGCUGGUCUGAGAGGACGACCAGCCACACUGGGACUGAGACACGGCCCAGACUCCUACGGGAGGCAGCAGUGGGGAAUUGUGGACAAUGGGCGCAAGCCUGAUCCAGCCAUGCCGCGUGCAGGAUGAAGGCCUUCGGGUUGUAAACUGCUUUUGUACGGAACGAAAAGACUCUGGUUAAUACCUGGGGUCCAUGACGGUACCGUAAGAAUAAGCACCGGCUAACUACGUGCCAGCCGCCGCCGUAACAC
rnacentral:rRNA from 1 species